rnacentral:rRNA from 1 species
AUUGAACGCUGGCGGCAUGCUUUACACAUGCAAGUCGAACGGCAGCACGGGAGCUUGCUCCUGGUGGCGAGUGGCGAACGGGUGAGUAAAGCAUCGGAACGUGCCCUGAAGUGGGGGAUAACGUAGCGAAAGUUACGCUAAUACCGCAUAUUCUGUGAGCAGGAAAGCAGGGGAUCGCAAGACCUUGUGCUUUAGGAGCGGCCGAUGUCGGAUUAGCUAGUUGGUGGGGUAAAGGCCUACCAAGGCGACGAUCCGUAGCGGGUCUGAGAGGAUGAUCCGCCCCACUGGGACUGAGACACGGCCCAGACUCCUACGGGAGGCAGCAGUGGGGAAUUUUGGACAAUGGGCGCAAGCCUGAUCCAGCCAUGCCGCGUGAGUGAAGAAGGCCUUCGGGUUGUAAAGCUCUUUCGGUGGGGAAGAAAUUGCACUCUCUAAUACAGGGUGUAGAUGACGGUACCCGCAUAAGAAGCACCGGCUAACUACGUGCCAGCCGCCGCCGUAAAAC